UGGGGAAUAUUGGACAAUGGGCGCAAGCCUGAUCCAGCCAUGCCGCGUGAGUGAUGAAGGCCUUAGGGUUGUAAAGCUCUUUCACCCACGACGAUAAUGACGGUAGUGGGAGAAGAAGCCCCGGCUAACUUCGUGCCAGCAGCCGCGGUAAUACGAAGGGGGCUAGCGUUGCUCGGAAUCACUGGGCGUAAAGGGCGCGUAGGCGGACGUUUAAGUCAGGGGUGAAAGCCCGAGGCUCAACCUCGGAAUUGCCCCUUGAUACUGGAUGUCUCGAGACCGGAAGAGGUGAGUGGAACUGCGAGUGUAGAGGUGAAAUUCGUAGAUAUUCGCAAGAACACCAGUGGCGAAGGCGGCUCACUGGUCCGGAUCUGACGCUGAGCGCGAAAGCGUGGGGAGCAAACAGGAUUAGAUACCCUGGUAGUCCACGCCGUAAACGAUGAUGCUAGCCGUUGGCCAGCUUGCUGGUCCGCGGCGCAGCUAACGCUUUAAGCAUCCCGCCUGGGGAGUACGCCGCAAGGUUAAAAACUAAAUGAAUUGACGGGGUCAUAGCUGUUUCCUG
rnacentral:rRNA from 1 species